UUAUAAGUUGAAAGUCAAAGAUAAUGUACGUAUUAUGUUCAUACUGCUAAGCUUCAAUCAUAGAUACUAUAGUAUCUAUGCUUCAAUUCUUUGCCAGAUAGAUCUGCCUUCUAAAUGUAAGACUAUGUUGACAGAUAAUUGUUAUAGUUAAAAUUAUGAGCUAGCUGAGAUUAUAUUGUAGUAAUACAAUUGUAAUAAUAAGCUAUAGACCUAUAGUACUGUAGGUAGUAUUAUAGCGAAUAGGUGCUGGUGUAAUUGUCAGAGGAACGCAAUGUCUCUUCAACUGCCUCAAUGACCAGCUCAACUAAUGCUGGGCCUAGUGAUUUCCCCCAUGAGCUGCAAUGGAAGAAGUGUGAUAUUCGAUCUCUGCAGAACAUUUCCAGCCCCAUCAAUGCUGCAUUUCACGGUGACACGGCAUAUUUCAGACACUAUCGCAGCAGAAAAAUCUAUUCAUAUAAUUUGACCAGUGGAUGGUCAGUUUGGGCCGAUUGCCUUGUCAGAGAUUGUUCUUUGGUUGUACUGCCUGUUCCUUACCAAGGCGCUGACCAAUUAUUCCUUCUUCACACAAUCGGUGGAAUCAAACGUAAAGUGGAUCGAACAAAUAAAGAUAAAGAAGAAUUUACGAAUGCUAUCUACCAGUUGACUGAUAUAAAAUGGACACGCUCAAUCACUUACCCAAAACUGAAAACCGAACGAAGCCAGAUGACAGUUGUCUAUAGCGAAGACCACGUAAUUAUAGCUGGUGGCUGCAGUGCUGAUUUAAAAUCAGUAAAUACAGUGGACGUUUUGACUAUUACAUGCCAACACAAAGAAUGGCGUGAGGUUGCCAGCCUUCCUUAUCCUGUGUACCGUGCUUCUGGAUGUGUGUGCAAUGGCAUGCUUUACAUACUAGGGGGACACGUGUCUCCUUUUGAUCCAAUCAGAAGUGCUUGUGUUGCUACAGUGUCAGAGCUUGUUGAAGCUCACAGCAAUGAAGCCAGUGAUAAAGACAUUUUUAAGAUUGUAAAAGACUUGGAACUCUACGAUUGUGUGUGUGUGUCAUUUCGCAAUUGUAUACUGGCAAUUGGAGGUUGGAAAUCAGACGCAAGUGGGACGAAGCUUGGGACGAAACUUGUCUACGUCUAUCACGAAGACGAGAAAGUUUGGAAAGAGCUAAAAGGUCGACUGUCUGAGUCUCGGUGUUACCCUUUUGCUGCUGCUUUUAAAGACAAGAUAAUGAUUGUUGGAGGGUAUAAUAGACCUAAUGGAACAUGUACUGAUUCUGUAGAAUUUGGAAUACUUCCCAGUGAUGAGCCAAAGCAAGUCUGUCAGGCCCUACUACCAUCUGAGAGGGAAGCUAGUGUUGAGGGGGCGUUGGUGAGUGACUGAACCGUUUACGAGAGAGGAAGGCUGCUGAAAAAGUCAAAAAAGAUAAUGAGAGUCAAUGGUCAAGCCGUAAGAGACCACUUCCUGGAAGAGAUAUGUCAGAUGAUCAACAACCAGCGGUCAAGAAACAGAAACAUCCUCAAGCCUCACACCAGCGCAAAAGAUCAUUGGCAGAUGCACAUGAUGCUCAAGCCUCACACCAACACAAAAGAUUAUUGGCAUCGGAUCCACUCGGAUCGUCACCUCUUAGCAAAAACAAAACAGUAGAAAUUGCAAAACGACCGUCCUCCAAUCCCAUUAUUGUUCCAGCUGAAAAAGCAGAUAUUCAAACAAUUUGUGAAAGUCUGAAGGAUGCAACUAAAAAUUGGUUCGAAUUGGGAAUAGUGUUUAAAAUUUCGCAUAAUGAUUUGAAAGACAUUGAAGGCCAAUACACCAGUAACAAACGCCGCCUAAUGGAGAUAGUGGGCAAGCGUCUUGAAGUCACAGAACAUCCGAUGACAUGGCCUUAUAUAUGUAAAUGUCUGAGAAGUCCUCUUGUUGAACGUAAUGAUGUAGCUGAGGAAAUCGAAGAAAAGCGGAUCCGGACUGAUGUAUGAGAUUUAUUCAUCAACUAUAUAUGGUAUCCCAGGCCUAACUGGACCCCCACCCCCUCCGC